CCUACGGGAGGCUGCAGUGGGGAAUAUUGCACAAUGGGGGAAACCCUGAUGCAGCGACGCCGCGUGAGUGAAGAAGUAUCUCGGUAUGUAAAGCUCUAUCAGCAGGGGAGAAAAUGACGGUACCUGAUUAAGAAGCCCUGGGUAACUACGUGCCAGCAGCCGCGGUAAUACGUAGGGGGCACGCGUUAUCCGGAUUUAGUGGGUGUAAAGGGGGCGUAGACGGGAGCACAAGUCUGGAGUGAAAGGCCGGGGCUUAACCCCGGAACUGCUGUGGAAACUGGGCAGCUAGAGUGCAGGAGAGGUAGGUGGAAUUCCUAGUGUAGCGGUGAAAUGCGUAGAUAUUAGGAGGAACACCAGUGGCGAAGGCGGCUUACUGGACUGUAACUGACGUUGAGGCUCGAAAGCGUGGGGAGCAAACAGGAUUAGAGACCCGAGUAGUC
rnacentral:rRNA from 1 species